GACGAACGCUGGCGGCGUGCUUAACACAUGCAAGUCGAACGAUGAAGCCGGAGCUUGCUCCGGUGGAUUAGUGGCGAACGGGUGAGUAACACGUGAGCAAUCUGCCCUUGACUCUGGGAUAACUGCGGGAAACUGUAGCUAAUACCGGAUACGACACCUUGGGGCAUCCCAGGGUGUGGAAAGAAUUUGGGUCAAGGAUGAGCUCGCGGCCUAUCAGCUAGCUGGUGAGGUAAUGGCUCACCAAGGCGACGACGGGUAGCCGGCCUGAGAGGGUGACCGGCCACACUGGAACUGGGACACGGUCCAGACUCCUACGGGAGGCAGCAGUGGGGAAUAUUGCACAAUGGGCGAAAGCCUGAUGCAGCAACGCCGCGUGAGGGAUGAAGGCCGUCGGGUUGUAAACCUCUUUUAGCAGGGAAGAAGCGAAAGUGACGGUAUGUGCAGAAGAAGGACCGGCCAACUACGUGCCAGCCGCCGCAGUAA
rnacentral:rRNA from 1 species